AAAAACAUUCUGUAAACUUUCUGGUCCAUGUGGGUACGGAUUAGAAAGGUACAGAUAUUACCACAGAAGCCACAAAAGACAUCAAGGACGGUGGUUGCUGGUUUGUGGUCUAAUAGCAAUCGGGGAAAUCUGUGCUAGUCGCAGCCGGUCGCAACCAUCCAGAGGUUCAAGUUUAGAUGAAGGUUUGUGGCCUAUUGGCCGCUAUUGAAUAUUCAAUGAACGGUGGACAUGUUGCGUGUGCUAGCUUGAAAUUAUGACUUUUCUUACGGGUAAUAUUACAAAGUUCGAUUAUUAAAUUGUCAUAGAAGAAGAACUUUCCUACAAACUAUUGUUUGUAGUAGUAUAGGCUAGCGUAAAGGUAAUCAUUUAAGCCUUUACCCUUGCUUGGUAUGAUAAAAUCAUGCCAUAUGUCGUGGUGAGAGGCAACCUUGGAAUGGCAAACACAAAAGUAUAUGGUUUGUCGUUGCACGAAGCAGAGCAGAUUAGUGCGAGACUUCGGCCUGGCCCCAAAAACACUAACAAGGAUGAACUGACAUUCUACAAUUCUGCAAUCUAUGUUAUGAAUCAGUUGGAGUACUUUUUUGGCUAUCGAGUGAUAACUUGUGCAAGCCAAGGGGAUUCAGGACAGCCAAUAUGGACUAUGACAAGGCCUUAUUAACAGUUUGCGGCGUGAAAUUACAGAAUUUGACACUUAAGACCAUUAUAUAGUGUACUUGCUUAUAAAUCCUAUGCUUUGAGUUUGUAAUGUAUUGCUCCAGAUGAAACUGAAUUUGGUGACCCAGGACAGUGAUAUAUUGAAUUCUCUCCUAACCUAAUGUGCAAAUGUUGAACUGGUCUGAAUAAAUUCUGUAUUUCAGCA